CCUACGGGAGGCAGCAGUGGGGAAUAUUGCACAAUGGGGGAAACCCUGAUGCAGCAACGCCGCGUGAGUGAAGAAGUAUUUCGGUAUGUAAAGCUCUAUCCGCAGGGACGAAGAUGACGGUACCAGAUUAAGAAUCCCCGGCUAACUACUUGCCAGCAGCCGCGGUAAUACGUAGGGGGCAAGCGUUAUCCGGAGUUACUGGGUGGAAAGGGAGCGCAGACGGCAGUGCAGGUCUGGAGUGAAAGCACGGGGCACAACCCCGGAACUGCUCUGGAAACUGUGUGGCUAGAGUACUGGAGGGGCAGGCGGAAUUCCUAGGGUAGCGGUGAAAUGCGUAGAUAUUAGGAGGAACACCAGUGGCGAAGGCGGCCUGCUGGACAGUAACUGACGUUGAGGCUCGAAAGCGUGGGGAGCAAACAGGAUUAGAUACCCGUGUAGUC
rnacentral:rRNA from 1 species